rnacentral:lncRNA from 1 species
GCUUUUCUCUCUGUCCUAGCUUUAAGAGUUGAAAAAAGUAAGUUAUACUUUAAACCAAUGCCCCUAGGACGUAAGACCGGAGUCAUGCUAGGACGGCCUUCAAUUGGUGCAAGAGUGCCAUGGUGCUAUUGAUUUGGCCUGAUCAGUGGCUAGCGUCAGAGUUUUGAUGUGAAGAGGCAAAACUAAAGGGAGGGCACUAAAGAGACACAAACGAAAUAAGCAGUCAUUUAUAUUUACCUUUUUGAGCAGUUUCGGUUGCUCAAGCCUCUCCUCCAAUUUUUUAGAAUUCCUGUGCUUUCUAAUCCCGCAAUUCACAACUCCUCUGGGAUCAUAGCAAGUAACAAAUGGUCUGCAUGCAAUUGAACAAACAACACUUGUUCAUCUGUUAGCCACUGGGAUACUUGCAAAUUAAGACAAAACUGCCGCCAGCAGGAACCAAACAUAAAUUAUGCAAUCUUGUAAACAAAACAAUACAUUACUAAUCACUUCUGAUAACAUCAUAGCAGACUUUUAAACCAAAAAGCUUCUGCAGAUGAAGAAAGUCUCUAAUCUUAAGAUGGCUUCAUCAUCAAAGCAUGAAUUGCAACACAAAACCUUGUAAAGAAACAUACAAAAUUCGACUUUUUCAUCGGAAAUUUCAUGCACAUAAUACAGAAUCCAAGCACCUUAUAUUCAUGGAGCCAAGUAUCUGAAGCAGCAAGGUCUCUUUCAACACUGACCACCCUCACCAGCCUCCCUAGAAGCCAAAUUUCAGCCACAACAAAAAAAAAGUCUAAAACACUAAAAAAAAUGAGAAGAACUAAAUUUCAAGAACACAAAAAACCCACAAGAAGACCACAAUCCAGAGACACCAAGAAACCCAAAAAUCAAAAACACUAAUCAAAGGAUAUCUCUAAGUUGAGAGGCUUUAAAUUGGGGAGUGCUCAGUUUCAUAACACUUUUCAUCCUCACGAUGCCAGAAGCUUCCCUUAAAGUACCACCAAAGAAGAUGCUUAAGCAAUUUUGAGCACAAGUAUAUAUGCAUGCAUAAACAUAGAAAGAUCAAAGAAAAAUUCAGUGAAGAAGUGAUUCACCUGGUGCAAAGAAGGAAAGCGGAAGAUUCCCUGGCGCUCCAAACUGCAAGGCAU